rnacentral:rRNA from 1 species
GGUUAAGCGACUAAGCGUACACGGUGGAUGCCCUGGCAGUCAGAGGCGAUGAAGGACGUGCUAAUCUGCGAAAAGCGUCGGUAAGGUGAUAUGAACCGUUAUAACCGGCGAUGUCCGAAUGGGGAAACCCAGUGCAAUUCGUUGCACUAUCGUUAACUGAAUACAUAGGUUAACGAGGCGAACCGGGGGAACUGAAACAUCUAAGUACCCCGAGGAAAAGAAAUCAACCGAGAUUCCCCCAGUAGCGGCGAGCGAACGGGGAGCAGCCCAGAGUCUGAAUCAGCUUGUGUGUUAGUGGAACGGUCUGGAAAGUCCGACGGUACAGGGUGAUAGUCCCGUACACCAAAAUGCACAGGCUGUGAACUCGAAGAGUAGGGCGGGACACGUGGUAUCCUGUCUGAAUAUGGGGGGACCAUCCUCCAAGGCUAAAUACUCCUGACUGACCGAUAGUGAACCAGUACCGUGAGGGAAAGGCGAAAAGAACCCCGGCGAGGGGAGUGAAAAAGAACCUGAAACCGUGUACGUACAAGCAGUGGGAGCACCUUCGGGUGUGACUGCGUACCUUUUGUAUAAUGGGUCAGCGACUUAUAUUCUGUAGCAAGGUUAACCGUAUAGGGGAGCCGCAGGGAAACCGAGUCUUAACUGGGCGUUAAGUUGCAGGGUAUAGACCCGAAACCCGGUGAUCUAGCCAUGGGCAGGUUGAAGGUUGGGUAACACUAACUGGAGGACCGAACCGACUAAUGUUGAAAAAUUAGCGGAUGACUUGUGGCUGGGGGUGAAAGGCCAAUCAAACCGGGAGAUAGCUGGUUCUCCCCGAAAGCUAUUUAGGUAGCGCCUCGUGAACUCAUCUUCGGGGGUAGAGCACUGUUUCGGCUAGGGGGUCAUCCCGACUUACCAACCCGAUGCAAACUACGAAUACCGAAGAAUGUUAUCACGGGAGACACACGGCGGGUGCUAACGUCCGUCGUGAAGAGGGAAACAACCCAGACCGCCAGCUAAGGUCCCAAAGUCAUGGUUAAGUGGGAAACGAUGUGGGAAGGCACAGACAGCCAGGAUGUUGGCUUAGAAGCAGCCAUCAUUUAAAGAAAGCGUAAUAGCUCACUGGUCGAGUCGGCCUGCGCGGAAGAUGUAACGGGGCUAAACCAUGCACCGAAGCUGCGGCAGCGACACUAUGUGUUGUUGGGUAGGGGAGCGUUCUGUAAGCCUGCGAAGGUGACCUGUGAGGGUUGCUGGAGGUAUCAGAAGUGCGAAUGCUGACAUAAGUAACGAUAAAGCGGGUGAAAAGCCCGCUCGCCGGAAGACCAAGGGUUCCUGUCCAACGUUAAUCGGGGCAGGGUGAGUCGACCCCUAAGGCGAGGCCGAAAGGCGUAGUCGAUGGGAAACAGGUUAAUAUUCCUGUACUUGGUGUUACUGCGAAGGGGGGACGGAGAAGGCUAUGUUAGCCGGGCGACGGUUGUCCCGGUUUAAGCAUGUAGGCUGGUUAUCCAGGCAAAUCCGGAUAAUCAAGGCUGAGGUGUGAUGACGAGGCACUACGGUGCUGAAGUAACAAAUGCCCUGCUUCCAGGAAAAGCCUCUAAGCAUCAGGUAACAUUGAAUCGUACCCCAAACCGACACAGGUGGUCAGGUAGAGAAUACCAAGGCGCUUGAGAGAACUCGGGUGAAGGAACUAGGCAAAAUGGUGCCGUAACUUCGGGAGAAGGCACGCUGGUGUGUAGGUGAAGUCCCUGCGGAUGGAGCUGAGACCAGUCGAAGAUACCAGCUGGCUGCAACUGUUUAUUAAAAACACAGCACUGUGCAAACACGAAAGUGGACGUAUACGGUGUGACGCCUGCCCGGUGCCGGAAGGUUAAUUGAUGGGGUUAUCCGUAAGGAGAAGCUCUUGAUCGAAGCCCCGGUAAACGGCGGCCGUAACUAUAACGGUCCUAAGGUAGCGAAAUUCCUUGUCGGGUAAGUUCCGACCUGCACGAAUGGCGUAAUGAUGGCCAGGCUGUCUCCACCCGAGACUCAGUGAAAUUGAACUCGCUGUGAAGAUGCAGUGUACCCGCGGCAAGACGGAAAGACCCCGUGAACCUUUACUAUAGCUUGACACUGAACAUUGAGCCUUGAUGUGUAGGAUAGGUGGGAGGCUUUGAAGCGUGGACGCCAGUCUGCGUGGAGCCAACCUUGAAAUACCACCCUUUAAUGUUUGAUGUUCUAACGUUGGCCCCUGACCGGGGUUGCGGACAGUGUCUGGUGGGUAGUUUGACUGGGGCGGUCUCCUCCCAAAGCGUAACGGAGGAGCACGAAGGUUAGCUAAUCCUGGUCGGACAUCAGGAGGUUAGUGCAAUGGCAUAAGCUAGCUUGACUGCGAGCGUGACGGCGCGAGCAGGUGCGAAAGCAGGUCAUAGUGAUCCGGUGGUUCUGAAUGGAAGGGCCAUCGCUCAACGGAUAAAAGGUACUCCGGGGAUAACAGGCUGAUACCGCCCAAGAGUUCAUAUCGACGGCGGUGUUUGGCACCUCGAUGUCGGCUCAUCACAUCCUGGGGCUGAAGUAGGUCCCAAGGGUAUGGCUGUUCGCCAUUUAAAGUGGUACGCGAGCUGGGUUUAGAACGUCGUGAGACAGUUCGGUCCCUAUCUGCCGUGGGCGCUGGAGAAUUGAGGGGGGCUGCUCCUAGUACGAGAGGACCGGAGUGGACGCAUCACUGGUGUUCGGGUUGUCAUGCCAAUGGCACUGCCCGGUAGCUAAAUGCGGAAGAGAUAAGUGCUGAAAGCAUCUAAGCACGAAACUUGCCCCGAGAUGAGUUCUCCCUGAGACUUUAAGUCUCCUGAAGGAACGUUAAAGACGAUGACGUUGAUAGGCCGGGUGUGUAAGCGCAGCGAUGCGUUGAGCUAACCGGUACUAAUGAACCGUGAGGCUUAACCUU